rnacentral:lncRNA from 1 species
AUGGGUGGAGCCCCACUCCUCUACUCGACUCCAUUAAGUCAACUCUUGACAACUGUUCUUCUUGGCCUUUGGUUUCUACUGCUCAAGGGACCCUGUAUCAUUUCUGGACAGUGUGGUCUUCUCCACAGUACUCUCUUACCCCCUGGAAUCUGUCUUCUGUUGGCUGAUGUCUGCUGGGACACUGGAUCCUCAGGGACCAUUUUCUGCAUGAAAAUCAGUAGAGUGUAUAUUUCAUUGUCUGUCCAGCAAAGACAUGCUCUGCAGGGCCGUGAAUUCACCCCUCUGGCCUAUCUCUGCAUUCAUCCACGGGGCAAGCUGGCAAAUGGGGAAGCUUGGAGAACGAUGAGCCCAGCCCUCCACCAUGGCACCGACUGA